rnacentral:rRNA from 1 species
UAGUCAUAUGCUUGUCUCAAAGAUUAAGCCAUGCAUGUCUAAGUAUAAGCAAUCUAUACGGUGAAACUGCGAAUGGCUCAUUAAAUCAGUUAUCGUUUAUUUGAUAGUACCUUACUACUUGGAUAACCGUGGUAAUUCUAGAGCUAAUACAUGCUAAAAACCCCGACUUCGGAAGGGGUGUAUUUAUUAGAUAAAAAACCAAUGCCCUUCGGGGCUCCUUGGUGAUUCAUAAUAACUUAACGAAUCGCAUGGCCUUGUGCCGGCGAUGGUUCAUUCAAAUUUCUGCCCUAUCAACUUUCGAUUGUAAGGUAGUGGCUUACAAUGGUUUCAACGGGUAACGGGGAAUUAGGGUUCUAUUCCGGAGAGGGAGCCUGAGAAACGGCUACCACAUCCAAGGAAGGCAGCAGGCGCGCAAAUUACCCAAUCCCGACACGGGGAGGUAGUGACAAUAAAUACUGAUACAGGGCUCUUUUGGGUCUUGUAAUUGGAAUGAGUACAAUUUAAAUCCCUUAACGAGGAACAAUG